GUUCCUCCAUCCUCAACCUGAGGACGUGCUAUGUCAUGGUGACAGGGACCCACCUAACAUUGAAGGAAUUCAUGUUGCAUCAUAAAUAUAUAUAUAUAUAUUAUUGCUUCUGUGAAUAUGGUUUGCAUAUAAUGUAUACUUCUUGCUGUGUAUUGAAGAUGCCUUUAAUGAAAUGAACCAAUUACACAGUUCACGUCACUAUAGCUGUCCAAUUACAAACUACUCAUCAAGGAAGAGGCAUCAAAUGCCAUGUGAUAAGAGGUUCAGGGAUGUUGGAUUCCAUCUGCCUGAAAGUUUGUCAAGUUUCAGGAGAUGUCGACUAUUUUCAACUAAAACACCUACUGUAGCCAGGUGAUAGUGCAAUGUUACGUUGCCACAGACACAUCAUUUUUUAUUUACGCAGCACAACAAAAUUCCAUUCAAGACUCUUAACUAAUAAUCCUGUUUGGUUCUGGAUACAUUUUUAAGAGGAGAGAGCUGUGAAUUUGCCAUAGACAACUGACUGUGCUUUGACAUGUUUAUAAGGAUAACUUUUAACACGCUAGCAUGCACUGAACUCUCCGUCACAAAGUCAGAAUUAUACAAGCAGCAGCUGAUCAUGUGUAUUUCCAGUUCAUUUGUCCAUGGUUUGUAAUGGUAUAUUGUAUUAUCUUCUUGUUACAUUAGUUUUGGGGAGUAGGCAGGACUACAACACACAAAAUAAAUUUUAGUAUGCAGAAUUACAUAUAAAGAUUAAGCACAGUGUGGAGCAUUGACAGGAAGAACAUUUUUAGACCUGUUCUUGAUGAAGAUGUUGAAUUGUGCCCAUUAGUUUUGCCAUGUCUGUCUGCAUAUAAACAAUGAAUGGAUUUUAUAUUUGAAUAGUUUUAUUGAAAUAUGAUGACACACUUUAAUUCAUGUUAAAAUUACACAGCAAUACUAGACACUUCACAAAACCUACAUCUUGAGUGUAUUUCACUUGAAAUUGGGAUAAGAAAAUAUGUGACACAUAAGUUGUAGAAAAAAUUAAACACGUCAUUUGCUCAGUACACUUUUCCCAUAAGUCAUGUGGUUUUCGGGAUAAUUAAACAAAAAAUGUUUCUGUUCUGUCAUAUCAUAACUUCAGAACUAGUGAACUGAUUUUAGUCAAAUUCCAUCAAAUAGUUUGUCUGUCCCACCUGCUUAAUUGCAUUUAUAAGAGAUCAUUGAAAGUUACUAUUUAAAAACUUAAAAUCUAGAUGAAAUAAUAGCAGAUGUGCAAGAAUUGUUAUACUGUGCAUACAUUUCCUAACUUGUCUGUUUUACAUGAUUGAGGAACUGAAAGUGACCAAUAUCUUAUCUCAGUAAUGAAAUGAAAUGUCAUUGUGCUCAUAAAAUUGCCACAAACAUGAUGCUGAUUGAAAUAUAUUCAAAAAUAUGUAUUUUGUCCUAAUGACUUAAAUACAUAAUAUUGAAAGUGUGUUGUUGAUGGUAUUUAUAUGAGGAGCACAAAGUUCUGUUGUAAAGAAAAAAAUUUCUGCCUUUAUCUGUGUGGGGAACAAACCGCAUAUCUAUAAUUAUUUUUGCUAGUAUUUUAUGUUUUGUGAUAUAACUUUAUUAAAUUUUUUGCAUUUAAAAAUGUUGACAUUAUUUUUGCCUUGUUAAAAGUGGAAAGCUGUGUAGCUUAUUCAUCAUCAUCGCCUUCUUUUCUGUAUCCUCAAAAUUAAUAAUCAGGCUCAAUUCUUGCCAGUAAAUAUUGUGUACUUGGAUAAAGAAAAUUUGAGAAGUGUUCUCUAUUUAUAAACAUCACAUCCCCAGUACUUAAACUAUUAGACUCAUCAGAAUUUUGAAAUGCAUCUUGAAGUGAGGUUUUAGAGGUAUAUAAUCUGGACUGACACAUUUUAAUAAUGGGAAUCUGACUACCCUAUUCAUUACUAAAUACUGUAAUUUAUAAUCAGUUUUCUGGAAUUUAAUAUGAAAUUUCAGAACAUCUAAGGCUGUUUUUAUUUAAUUUAUUAGCAUAAGUGCAUGUAAUCAUAUAUAUUUCUAGAGUGAUGAAUAUCAUGCAGUUAUAUAUGAUUUGAAGCUUUCAUGGUGACAUAACUCAAUAAAAUCUCAGGCGAUCAGCCGCGUCAAA